UACCAGCUCCUCGAGUGGUCGGGGCGAUUAUUGGGCCUAAAGCAUCCGUAGCCGGUUCCGUAGGUCCUCUGUUAAAUCCAACCGCUCAACGGUUGACCUGCAGAGGAUACCGCGGGACUAGGAGGCGGGAGAGGCGGACGGUACUCCGCGUGUAGGGGUAAAAUCCUUUGAUCCGCGGAAGACCACCAGUGGCGAAGGCGGUCCGCCAGAACGCGCUCGACGGUGAGGGAUGAAAGCUGGGGGAGCGAAC
rnacentral:rRNA from 1 species